AUUGAACGCUAGCGGCAGGCUUAACACAUGCAAGUCGAGCGCGCGUCGGACGGGUGUGUAAUGUAUGGGGACUGCCCGCUAGAGGGGGAUAAAUCCUGGAAACGGUAUCUCAUACCGCAUACUAUCGGAUAACCCAUAUGGGAUUAGCUCGUAGGUGGGGUAAUGGCUCACCUAGGCGACGAUCCCUAGCUGGUCUGAGAGGAUGAUCAGCCACACUGGGACUGAGACACGGCCCAGACUCCUACGGAGGCAGCAGUGGGGAAUUUUGCACAAUGGGGGCAAGCCUGAUGCAGCCAUGCCGCGUGUAUGAAGAAGGCCUUAGGGUUGUAAAGUACUUUCAGUAGAGAGGCGUUACCGGCAGAAGAAGCACCGGCUAACUACGUGCCAGCAGCCGCGGUAAUAC
rnacentral:rRNA from 1 species